rnacentral:rRNA from 1 species
AUGGCCUCUUCUACCUCAGCGCCACCCAUGGCUGCCUCGCUGGCAAGCCCCGCUGCCGCUCCGACCGGUGAAUCCAUGCCGCCGAGCUCGCCUUGCCUCGCCUCCUGCAUCCCGUGUGCCCCGCUGGGCGCGGGGGUUCCCAUGUCCAGCGCCUCCUGCUCGCUCCGCCAUGGCCUCCUCGACGUGGUUGAGCCCGACCACGACCCUCUCCACAUGCCACCUAGGUCUCGCCUCCUCCCUGUGGCAUCGCGCGCCCGAAGCCCAGGACCUCCUCCGCUUGCUGUUGCCAUUGCUGUCAAGUCAAACGAUACCGAACAAAGAUUACCGCCAAGUUCCAUCAUUGAAGAUUUUGUCAAGUUCCCCUGGUUUCGGCAAACACCACCCCGCAAGCUGCAAGUACGACGGUCCUUGAAGAGUUCAGAUUCGACAAGUCCGAUGGCGCACUUGUACAACUACUUUGUCGAGACCGAGACCGGCAAGACCGACGGCGCGGAAACACCAAGUACCACUCAUGUCGGCAAGACCCGCAGUCGGACGCCGAACGAUCGACAUCUCGUGGACCAUGUACAACUACCGUCGCCCCAAAGACGUUGGAGUCAUCAAGUACCUCUCCGAACGAACGUGAACGACUACCAUCGCAAGAACGGGACCAGAAAGUCCGAAGACCACAAGUACCACGACACCGAUGACAUGAAUGUCUAUGGAAACUCGUGCAAUGAUAAACAUGUACCACUACCGCCACCGAGAUCGCGAGAACCUCUACCGUCGACCCUAGAGCGUGCGAGAACGACUACUUCCACUACCGCCGUCAUGAGAACGUCUACUUCCUCUACUUUGCACCGAACGAGAACUGUCCCGCUUGCACGCUUCGAAGGUAUAACCUCGAGACGACGUCCGUGA